rnacentral:rRNA from 1 species
CCUACGGGAGGCAGCAGUGGGGAAUAUUGCACAAUGGGGGGAACCCUGAUGCAGCGACGCCGCGUGGGUGAAGAAGUACUCCGGUAUGUAAAGCCCUGUCAGCAGGGAAGAAAAUGACGGUACCUGACCAAGAAGCCCCGGCUAACUACGUGCCAGCAGCCGCGGUAAUACGUAGGGGGCAAGCGUUAUCCGGAUUUACUGGGUGUAAAGGGAGCGUAGACGGCAAGGCAAGUCUGGAGUGAAAGCCCGGGGCCCAACCACGGGACUGCUUUGGAAACUGUGUUGCUGGAGUGCAGGAGGGGUAAGCGGAAUUCCUAGUGUAGCGGUGAAAUGCGUAGAUAUUAGGAGGAACACCGGUGGCGAAGGCGGCUUACUGGACUGUAACUGACGUUGAGGCUCGAAGGCGUGGGGAGCAAACAGGAUUAGAUACCCUAGUAGUC